rnacentral:rRNA from 1 species
CCUACGGGAGGCAGCAGUGGGGAAUAUUGGGCAAUGGAGGCAACUCUGACCCAGCAACGCCGCGUGAAUGAUGAAGGUCUUCGGAUUGUAAAGUUCUGUGAUGGGGGAUGAACACAAUGACGGUACCCCAAUAGCAAGCCACGGCUAACUACGUGCCAGCAGCCGCGGUAAUACGUAGGUGGCAAGCGUUAUCCGGAAUGACUGGGCGUAAAGGGUGCGUAGGUGGUUUAGUAAGUUGGCGGUGUAAUUCCGGGGCUCAACCUCGGCGCUACCGCCAAAACUAUUAGACUAGAGUGCAGGAGGGGUAAGUGGAAUUCCUGGUGUAGCGGUGGAAUGCGUAGAGAUUAGGAGGAACAUCAGGGGCGAAGGCGACUUACUGGACUGUAACUGACACUGAGGCACGAAAGCGUGGGGAGCAAACAGGAGUAGAUACCCCGGUAGUC